AAUCCAUGGUAAGGACACCUUCUCAACAAAUCCUUGAGUCUUUCCCAUGUAUCAUAAAGAGUCUCAAUAUCAAACUGAACAAAAAAUGUCAUUCCUCAACUUAGUUA
rfam:Gossypium arboreum cultivar AKA8401 contig_48476_3, whole genome shotgun sequence.